rnacentral:pre_miRNA from 1 species
UGGUGAAUCACAUGGGGACCUUGUCAGAAUGUGGAUUUGAAUCUGCAGGGGGAGGUCGGAGACUCUACAUUCCUAGCAAGCUCCCAGGUGAUGCCCCC